GACGAACGCUGGCGGCGUGCCUAAUACAUGCAAGUAGAACGCUGAAGGAGGAGCUUGCUUCUCUGGAUGAGUUGCGAACGGGUGAGUAACGCGUAGGUAACCUGCCUGGUAGCGGGGGAUAACUAUUGGAAACGAUAGCUAAUACCGCAUAAGAGUAGAUGUUGCAUGACAUUUACUUAAAAGGUGCAAUUGCAUCACUACCAGAUGGACCUGCGUUGUAUUAGCUAGUUGGUGGGGUAACGGCUCACCAAGGCGACGAUACAUAGCCGACCUGAGAGGGUGAUCGGCCACACUGGGACUGAGACACGGCCCAGACUCCUACGGGAGGCAGCAGUAGGGAAUCUUCGGCAAUGGACGGAAGUCUGACCGAGCAACGCCGCGUGAGUGAAGAAGGUUUUCGGAUCGUAAAGCUCUGUUGUAAGAGAAGAACGAGUGUGAGAGUGGAAAGUUCACACUGGGAC
rnacentral:rRNA from 1 species